rnacentral:rRNA from 1 species
AUGGGAAUCACUAUAGACCGAGAAGCAGAAAAUUAUGAGGUGCAUGAGUUAGUUGUUGAACACAACCAUGUCUUGCAAUUACCUGGGACAAGCCACUUGAUGCCGUCACAAUGGAAGAUUUCGGCCUUGCAAGCAUUCAAAAUUGAAACAACCGAUGAUUCGGGAAUUGUACCUAAAAGAGCCCAUCAGUUAGCAAGUCGACAAGUUGGUGCUCCACUGAACCUUGGCUACACAUGUCGUGAUCGCAAGAACCACUUGUGA